rnacentral:rRNA from 1 species
UACGUAGGGGGCAAGCGUUGUCCGGAUUUAUUGGGCGUAAAGAGCGUGUAGGCGGCCAUGCAGGUCAGCUGUGAAAACUCGAUGGCUCAACCUCGAGAUGUCGGUUGAAACCGUGUGGCUAGAGUCCGGAAGAGGAGAGUGGAAUUCCCGGUGUAGCGGCGAAAUGCGCAGAUAUCGGGAAGAACACCCGUGGCGAAGGCGGCUCACUGGUCCGGUACUGACGCUGAGGUGCGAAAGCGUGGGGAGCAAACAGG